rnacentral:lncRNA from 1 species
UGGACUGGUACAUUUAAACCAAGGACCUAGGAGGAGAGUUAGAAAAAAAAAAAAAAAAAAAGCAAAGAAACCCUAGGAGCCACCAACCCCUCCCUUCUCCUCUUUCCUUCUACUCCUCCCUCCCCUUCUCCUUGCCCUAUUUUCCUCUAGCUCUGAUUCAGUCGAUUUUCACAGCAAAGCAUGUGGUAGAGGGUGGAGGAGAGUUAGAAAGAGAAGCUUCAGAUCUAGGGGUUUAUUCCUCAUUUUCGGUAUUUUCCUGUGCCUUGGCAGACCAUGAUGUUAUUUUCUUCUCUUGGUAGAUCUGGUUGUCUCUAUUAUGGAUCUGGAUGGCUUUGGUUAUGCAUCAUUUGUAGAGCAAAGUGUCGCUGUUCCUUUAGUCGGUGUUUUUUGGUUUCUUAGAUUUGGUAUAUUUUGUUAUUAAAGUUCAGAAACUCAAUGAGUUGUUUGGUUAUCUCUUGUAAUUCUCAG